rnacentral:rRNA from 1 species
UGGGGAAUUUUGGACAAUGGGCGCAAGCCUGAUCCAGCCAUGCCGCGUGAGUGAAGAAGGCCUUCGGGUUGUAAAGCUCUUUUGUCCGGGAGCAAGUCCUACUGGCUAAUAUCUGGUGGGGAUGAGAGUACUGGAAGAAUAAGCACCGGCUAACUACGUGCCAGCAGCCGCGGUAAUACGUAGGGUGCGAGCGUUAAUCGGAAUUACUGGGCGUAAAGGGUGCGCAGGCGGUUUUGUAAGCCAGAUGUGA